CCAGGAGCAGAGCGAGGAAGAGGAGGAGGAAGAGGAAGAAAAGGAAAAAAAAACGUCCAAGGGGAAAAUUGCCAAGGAGGAAGAGGAGGCCGAGAGGAGGAAGAGGAAGAGCAGCAGGAACGACAAAUCCAAAGGGAGGCGAAAGGGAAAACCCGGCAGCGACGAUGAGGAGGCCGAAGGCUCCGAGGAGCCCAAAGGGGGGAAGAACAAAUUUGGAGCCCUGAGAGAUGAGGAGGAGGAGGAGGAAGAGGAGGAGGAGGAAGAGGAAGGAGCCCGGAAGGGAAGCGAGAACGAGCAGGAGGAAGGGGCGGGGCCGAGGGCGGGGCCGGAUCCGCGAAUCAGCAAAAAGGAGAAGAAGAAGAUGAAG